rnacentral:rRNA from 1 species
GGAUUAGAUACCCUGGUAGUCCACGCCGUAAACGAUGGUCACUAGCUGUUUGGACUUCGGUCUGAGUGGCUAAGCGAAAGUGAUAAGUGACCCACCUGGGGAGUACGACCGCAAGGUUAAAACUCAAAUGAAUUGACGGGGACCCGCACAAGUAGUGGAGCAUGUGGUUUAAUUCGACGAUACGCGAGGAACCUUACCAGGACUUAAAUGUAAGUUGCAUGAUUCAGAAAUGAAUCUUUCUUCGGACUACUUACAAGGUGCUGCAUGGUUGUCGUCAGCUCGUGCCG